AUGGAACAUUGGCUGUGGAUUAUUCUUGCUGCUCUUUUCUUUGAGUGUAAAGGACAAGACAAAGUGAUCCAGCCACCAGGAGAUGUCAUUGCUACUGAAGGACAGACAGUUACACUUAAUUGUACUUUUGGGACAAGUGCUACAACUCCAUAUUUGUUCUGGUACAAACAAGAAGUAAAUGAUUCCCCAAAGUAUGUUUUGCAACGUUUCAAGUCUGGAACAGGCGUGAAUGCUCCUGAUUUCCAGAACGACAGAUUUGAUGCUACAGUCAACGGGACGUCAGUUCCUCUGAAGAUCCAGAAGCUGCAGCUGUCUGACUCUGCUGUGUACUACUGUGCUCUGCAGCCCACAUUG